GACGAACGCUGGCGGCGUGCUUAACACAUGCAAGUCGAACGGAAAGGCCCCCACCUUGGUGGGGGUGCUCGAGUGGCGAACGGGUGAGUAACACGUGGGUGAUCUGCCCUGUACUUCGGGAUAAGCUUGGGAAACUGGGUCUAAUACCGGAUAGGACCAUGGUUUAGUGUCUCAUGGUGGAAAAAUUAUUGUUUUGGUGCAGGAUGAGCUCGCGGCCUAUCAGCUUGUGGGUGGGGUAAUGGCCUACCAAGGCGUCGACGGGUAGCCGGCCUGAGAGGGUGGACGGCCACAUUGGGACUGAGAUACGGCCCAGACUCCUACGGGAGGCAGCAGUGGGGAAUAUUGCACAAUGGGCGCAAGCCUGAUGCAGCGACGCCGCGUGGGGGAUGACGGCCGUCGGGUUGUAAACUCCUUUCGUUAGGGACGAAGCCACACCUUUUUUGGGUGUGGUGACGGUACCUUUGUUAAGAAGCACCGGCUAACUACGUG
rnacentral:rRNA from 1 species